rnacentral:rRNA from 1 species
AAACGGGUGGGCCCUCGAAAUCCUGUGGCGGGGGGUAUUCAGUCGGAAAAGGCGGAUCUGUGCUCCGGAGUUUUUUAUACGGAUCCAUGCGCGGACCGGUUUCGGUAGCACUGUUUCUGCUUUGCCCGACGCAUUUCCUUCCGUCCGAAUGGACGCCGCAGCCGGUUGGGUAGCAAUGCGAGACGGCCAUAAGGGCGGACAAGGCAGGUGACCGGUGGCGAGACUCGUUCUUUUCGCCGGUUGUUAGCCAGUCUGUCAGUGGCUCGUCGCCCGACCGUGGUUUUUGGGGCCUCGUUGGGCCCCUUGCCGUCUCCUCCCACUGUGUAGCGGAAGGAUGUCGACAGAUGCUCGAUGGCGCUCGACGUUUCACUGGAUCGUACCGUGUGCGUCGCGCCGUCGUCUUUGUUGGUUGGCACGAGUCCGCGGGAGUUCUGGUGGCUAGCGGCGAGUAGGUCGGUCACCCACCCGACCCGUCUUGAAACACGGACCAAGGAGUCUAACAUGUGCGCGAGUCAAUGAGUCUUGAAUAUGCUCAAAGGCGCAAUGAAAGUGAAUGCCGGUUCCCUCAGAACCUGGCCAGUGUUGGGACUCUCCGUCUUCGGGCGCGAGAAGCACCAACGACCCGUCCUAUCCGAUUUAUCGGUUGGGCGGAGUCUGAGCGCACACGUUGGGACCCGAAAGAUGGUGAACUAUGCCUGGGCAGGACGAAGUCAGAGGAAACUCUGGUGGAGGUCCGUAGCGGUUCUGACGUGCAAAUCGAUCGUCAGACCUGGGUAUAGGGGCGAAAGACUAAUCGAACCAUCUAGUAGCUGGUUCCCUCCGAAGUUUCCCUCAGGAUAGCUGGCGCUCGGAGAAUUCAGUCUCAUCCGGUCAAGCGAAUGAUUAGAGGCCUUGGGGCCGAAACGACCUCAACCUAUUCUCAAACUUUAAAUGGGUGAGAAGUCCGGCUUGCGUAAAGGAAGCCCGGACGUGUUGGAUGAGAGUGCCCAGUGGGCCACUUUU